UGAUCAUGGCUCAGGAUGAACGCUAGCGGCAGGCCUAACACAUGCAAGUCGAGGGGUAACAGGGAGCUUGCUCCGCUGACGACCGGCGCACGGGUGCGCAACGCGUAUGCAAUCUACCUCUUACUAAGGGAUAGCCCAGAGAAAUUUGGAUUAAUAUCUUAUGUGAUAUUAGACUGGCAUCGGUUUAAUAUUAAAGGUUACGGUAAGAGAUGAGCAUGCGUCUCAUUAGUUAGUUGGUAAGGUAACGGCUUACCAAGACUUCGAUGAGUAGGGGUCCUGAGAGGGAGAUCCCCCACACUGGUACUGAGACACGGACCAGACUCCUACGGGAGGCAGCAGUGAGGAAUAUUGGACAAUGGACGGAAGUCUGAUCCAGCCAUGCCGCGUGUAGGAAGACUGCCCUAUGGGUUGUAAACUACUUUUAUACAGGAAGAAUAAGAUCUACGUGUAGAUUGAUGACGGUACUGUAAGAAUAAGGACCGGCUAACUCCGUGCCAGCAGCCGCGGUAAUACGGAGGGUCCGAGCGUUAUCCGGAAUUAUUGGGUUUAAAGGGUCCGUAGGCGGGCUGUUAAGUCAGAGGUGAAAUGCUGCGGCUCAACCGUAUGCACUGCCUUUGAUACUGGCGGUCUUGAGUUAUAGUGAAGUGGCUAGAAUAAGUAGUGUAGCGGUGAAAUGCAUAGAUAUUACUUAGAAUACCGAUUGCGAAGGCAGGUCACUAACUAUACACUGACGCUGAUGGACGAAAGCGUGGGUAGCGAACAGGAUUAGAUACCCUGGUAGUCCACGCCGUAAACGAUGGAUACUAGCUGUUCGGUUUUCGGACUGAGCGGCCAAGCGAAAGUGAUAAGU
rnacentral:rRNA from 1 species